GCUCCUGUGGCGCAAUCGGUUAGCGCGUCGUACUUAUACAGCAGUAUAGACGCUCUUAAGCGUGAGCAAUGCGAAGGGCGUGGGUUCGAACCCCACCAGGAGCA
rnacentral:tRNA from 1 species